rnacentral:rRNA from 1 species
GGUAACAGGAACUAGCUUGCUAGUUUGCUGACGAGUGGCGGACGGGUGAGUAACGCGUAGGAAUCUGCCUUGCAGCGGGGGAUAGCCCGAGGAAACUCGGAUUAAUACCGCAUACGCUCUACGGAGGAAAGUGGGCCUCUUCUUGAAAGCUCACACUGCAAGAUGAGCCUACGUCCGAUUAGCUUGUUGGUGGGGUAAUGGCCUACCAAGGCGACGAUCGGUAGCUGGUCUGAGAGGAUGAUCAGCCACACCGGGACUGAGACACGGCCCGGACUCCUAUGGGAGGCAGCAGUGGGGAAUAUUGGACAAUGGGCGCAAGCCUGAUCCAGCAAUGCCGCGUGUGUGAAGAAGGCCUGCGGGUUGUAAAGCACUUUUAUCAGGAAAGAAACGGCCUGGGCUAAUACCUCAUGGCAAUUGACGGUACCUGAUGAAUAAGCACCGGCUAACUCCGUGCCAGCAGCCGCGGUAAUACGGAGGGUGCAAGCGUUAAUCGGAAUUACUGGGCGUAAAGCGUGCGUAGGCGGCUACGUAAGUCGGAUGUGAAAGCCCCGGGCUUAACCUGGGAAUUGCAUUCGAUACUGUGUGGCUAGAGUUUGGUAGAGGUAAGUGGAAUUCCAGGUGUA